rnacentral:rRNA from 1 species
GGGCCCGCACAAGCGGUGGAGUAUGUGGUUUAAUUCGAUGCAACGCGAAGAACCUUACCAGGGUUUGACAUCCUGCGAAUCUCUUGGAAACAGGAGAGUGCCUUCGGGAACGCAGUGACAGGUGGUGCAUGGCUGUCGUCAGCUCGUGUCGUGAGAUGUUGGGUUAAGUCCCGCAACGAGCGCAACCCACGUCUUUAGUUGCCAGCAUUUAGUUGGGCACUCUAGAGAGACUGCCGGUGAUAAACCGGAGGAAGGUGUGGAUGACGUCAAGUCAUCAUGCCCCUUACAUCCUGGGCUACACACGUGCUACAAUGGGCGGUACAGAGGGCAGCGAAGUCGCGAGGCCGAGCAAAUCCCAUAAACCGUGGCUCAGUUCAGAUCGUAGGCUGCAACUCGCCUACGUGAAGGCGGAAUCGCUAGUAAUCG